GACGAACGCUGGCGGCGUGCUUAACACAUGCAAGUCGAACGAUGAAGCCUAGCUUGCUAGGUGGAUUAGUGGCGAACGGGUGAGUAAUACGUGAGUAACCUACCUUUAACUCUGGGAUAAGCCUGGGAAACUGGGUCUAAUACCGGAUACGACCAAUCUCCGCAUGGGGUGUUGGUGGAAAGCGUUAUGUAGUGGUUAUAGAUGGGCUCACGGCCUAUCAGCUUGUUGGUGAGGUAACGGCUCACCAAGGCGACGACGGGUAGCCGGCCUGAGAGGGUGACCGGCCACACUGGGACUGAGACACGGCCCAGACUCCUACGGGAGGCAGCAGUGGGGAAUAUUGCACAAUGGGCGCAAGCCUGAUGCAGCGACGCCGCGUGAGGGAUGACGGCCUUCGGGUUGUAAACCUCUGUUAGCAGGGAAGAAGAGAAAUUGACGGUACCUGCAGAGAAAGCGCCGGCUAACUACGUGCCAGCAGCCGCGGUAAUACGUAGGGCGCGAGCGUUGUCCGGAAUUAUUGGGCGUAAAGAGCUUGUAGGCGGUUUGUCGCGUCUGCUGUGAAGGCCGGGGCUUAACCCCGUGUAUUGCAGUGGGUACGGGCAGACUAGAGUGCAGUAGGGGAGACUGGAAUUCCUGGUGUAGCGGUGGAAUGCGCAGAUAUCAGGAGGAACACCGAUGGCGAAGGCAGGUCUCUGGGCUGUAACUGACGCUGAGAAGCGAAAGCAUGGGGAGCGAACAGGAUUAGAUACCCUGGUAGUCCGUGCCGUAAACGUUGGGCACUAGGUGUGGGGGACAUUCCACGUUUUCCGCGCCGUAGCUAACGCAUUAAGUGCCCCGCCUGGGGAGUACGGCCGCAAGGCUAAAACUCAAAGAAAUUGACGGGGGCCCGCACAAGCGGCGGAGCAUGCGGAUUAAUUCGAUGCAACGCGAAGAACCUUACCAAGGCUUGACAUAUACUGGACCGCAUCAGAGAUGGUGUUUCCCUUCGGGGCUGGUAUACAGGUGGUGCAUGGUUGUCGUCAGCUCGUGUCGUGAGAUGUUGGGUUAAGUCCCGCAACGAGCGCAACCCUCGUUCUAUGUUGCCAGCACGUUAUGGUGGGGACUCAUAGGAGACUGCCGGGGUCAACUCGGAGGAAGGUGGGGAUGACGUCAAAUCAUCAUGCCCCUUAUGUCUUGGGCUUCACGCAUGCUACAAUGGCCGGUACAGAGGGUUGCGAUACUGUGAGGUGGAGCUAAUCCCUAAAAGCCGGUCUCAGUUCGGAUUGGGGUCUGCAACUCGACCCCAUGAAGUCGGAGUCGCUAGUAAUCGCAGAUCAGCAACGCUGCGGUGAAUACGUUCCCGGGCCU
rnacentral:rRNA from 1 species